rnacentral:rRNA from 1 species
AACCUCCGCAAUGUGAGAAAUCGCGACGGGGGGAUCCCAAGUGCCAUUCUUAACGGGAUGGCUUUUCAUUAGUGUAAAGAGCUUUUGGAAUAAGAGCUGGGCAAGACCGGUGCCAGCCGCCGCGGUAACACCGGCAGCUCUAGUGGUAACAAUUUUUAUUGGGCCUAAAGCGUCCGUAGCCGGUUUAAUAAGUCUCUGGUGAAAUCCUGUAGCUUAACUGUGGGAAUUGCUGGAGAUACUAUUAGACUUGAGACCGGGAGAGGUUAGAGGUACUCCCAGGGUAGAGGUGAAAUUCUGUAAUCCUGGGAGGACCGCCUGUUGCGAAGGCGUCUAACUGGAACGGUUCUGACAGUGAGGGACGAAAGUUAGGGGCGCGAACCGGAUUAGAUACCCGGGUAGUCCUAACUGUAAACGAUGCGGACUUGGUGUUGGGGUGGCUUUGAGCUGCUCCAGUGCCGAAGGGAAGCUGUUAAGUCCGCCGCCUGGGAAGUACGGUCGCAAGACUGAAACUUAAAGGAAUU